GCUGACGAGUGGCGGACGGGUGAGUAAUGUCUGGGAAACUGCCUGAUGGAGGGGGAUAACUACUGGAAACGGUAGCUAAUACCGCAUAACGUCGCAAGACCAAAGAGGGGGACCUUCGGGCCUCUUGCCAUCGGAUGUGCCCAGAUGGGAUUAGCUUGUUGGUGGGGUAACGGCUCACCWAGGCGACGAUCCCUAGCUGGUCUGAGAGGAUGACCAGCCACACUGGAACUGAGACACGGUCCAGACUCCUACGGGAGGCAGCAGUGGGGAAUAUUGCACAAUGGGCGCAAGCCUGAUGCAGCCAUGCCGCGUGUAUGAAGAAGGCCUUCGGGUUGUAAAGUACUUUCAGCGGGGAGGAAGGGAGUAAAGUUAAUACCUUUGCUCAUUGACGUUACCCGCAGAAGAAGCACCGGCUAACUCCGUGCCAGCAGCCGCGGUAAUACGGAGGGUGCAAGCGUUAAUCGGAAUUACUGGGCGUAAAGCGCACGCAGGCGGUUUGUUAAGUCAGAUGUGAAAUCCCCGGGCUCAACCUGGGAACUGCAUCUGAUACUGGCAAGCUUGAGUCUCGUAGAGGGGGGUAGAAUUCCAGGUGUAGCGGUGAAAUGCGUAGAGAUCUGGAGGAAUACCGGUGGCGAAGGCGGCCCCCUGGACGAAGACUGACGCUCAGGUGCGAAAGCGUGGGGGAGCAAACAGGAUUAGAUACCCUGGUAGUCCACGCCGUAAACGAUGUCGACUUGGAGGUUGUGCCCUUGAGGCGUGGCUUCCGGAGCUAACGCGUUAAGUCGACCGCCUGGGGAGUACGGCCGCAAGGUUAAAACUCAAAUGAAUUGACGGGGGCCCGCACAAGCGGUGGAGCAUGUGGUUUAAUUCGAUGCAACGCGAAGAACCUUACCUGGUCUUGACAUCCACGGAAGUUUUCAGAGAUGAGAAUGUGCCUUCGGGAACCGUGAGACAGGUGCUGCAUGGCUGUCGUCAGCUCGUGUUGUGAAAUGUUGGGUUAAGUCCCGCAACGAGCGCAACCCUUAUCCUUUGUUGCCAGCGGUCCGGCCGGGAACUCAAAGGAGACUGCCAGUGAUAAACUGGAGGAAGGUGGGGAUGACGUCAAGUCAUCAUGGCCCUUACGACCAGGGCUACACACGUGCUACAAUGGCGCAUACAAAGAGAAGCGACCUCGCGAGAGCAAGCGGACCUCAUAAAGUGCGUCGUAGUCCGGAUUGGAGUCUGCAACUCGACUCCAUGAAGUCGGAAUCGCUAGUAAUCGUGAU
rnacentral:rRNA from 1 species